rnacentral:rRNA from 1 species
AGAGUUUGAUCCUGGCUCAGGAUGAACGCUAGCGGCAGGCCUAAUACAUGCAAGCCGAACGGUAAGUUGAGUAGCAAUACUUGACCUAGAGUGGCGUAAGGGUGCGUAACACGUAUGCAAUCUGCCCACAACAGGAGGAUAGCUCCCCGAAAGGGGAAUUAAUACUCCAUAAGAUCACACGAGGGCAUCUGAGAGUGAUU